GAUGAACGCUGGCGGCGUGCCUAAUACAUGCAAGUCGAGCGAACAGAUGAGGAGCUUGCUCCUCUGACGUUAGCGGCGGACGGGUGAGUAACACGUGGAUAACCUACCUAUAAGACUGGGAUAACUUCGGGAAACCGGAGCUAAUACCGGAUAAUAUAUUGAACCGCAUGGUUCAAUAGUGAAAGACGGUUUUGCUGUCACUUAUAGAUGGAUCCGCGCCGCAUUAGCUAGUUGGUAAGGUAACGGCUUACCAAGGCAACGAUGCGUAGCCGACCUGAGAGGGUGAUCGGCCACACUGGAACUGAGACACGGUCCAGACUCCUACGGGAGGCAGCAGUAGGGAAUCUUCCGAAAAGGGCGAAAGCCUGACGGAGCAACGCCGCGUGAGUGAUGAAGGUCUUCGGAUCGUAAAACUCUGUUAUUAGGGAAGAACAAAUGUGUAAGUAACUAUGCACGUCUUGACGGUACCUAAUCAGAAAGCCACGGCUAACUACGUG
rnacentral:rRNA from 1 species